AAUGGAACAUCAUAAACAGUGGGACAGUUGUCUGCCUUCUUGACGUCAGCAUAUUUGGGUUCAUUAUCGGCUGGACUUUUGUCAGAUUUAAUACUUUGUUAGCUGUGGUUGAGGGGAGUGUGGUUGGCUGAGGACACUGGCACAUACAUCACUCAUUUCUGCCCACAGUGCAGUGCAGAGACAGGCUAUGUGAUUGUUCCUAUGCUCAGUGGAAGUUUGUCUCAAUGGAAAAGUUGUUUCAAAAUAUUGGCAUUUUCUGUAGCAGAAAAUAAGAAAUGAAGUGUUAAAUUUUGGGUCACAGUGUACAAAAACACUAUGGGAAAAACAGCAUGCAUUGUUCCUGCUGAUGAAAACCCAAUAAACAACAAAACAAAGGCCCACUGAAGCCAAAGGAUCUGCUAGAGACAAAUGUGAAGUCCUGUUUAAGAGAAAAGAAGCAAUAAAUCUGCACAGCACUAACAGGCUAAAACAGCUGCAUCAGGAAUGUGUAUGGAAUGAGAGAAGAAAGGAUGAAGCUGACUUUCCUGAAGUGGAAUAGGCCAGCCCAAUGAAAACAGUAAUUCCUCCCAGUAACAGGGGUUUAGGCAAGGUUCACAGAAAUGAUAACUUCAGGAGAGCCUGUGGGAGAGGAUGAAUUCUGCUGCAGCCUUUCUACAUCAAAAAAAGAUCCUUUUCAGCACAAGAUCCUAAUGCUACUACUGAAGUGCAAGUUCUUAUAUCAUCACUGUGGAUGCUUCUUACUUCAGAGAACAAGAGAAAGGAAAUGUUUUGUUCUGCAGAUUUGUUUCUUUAUUUUGAUAUUUAAAUUAAAAUGUUGAAUUUUAUUGUGUGCUUUAUAUCUUCUUUUAAACCCUUCUGAAAUAAAGAGUGUAUUGCUCACUCUGAAUGAGUAAAA
rnacentral:lncRNA from 1 species